AAAAGUCCAAAAACAAUGGCAAGCCAAUCCUUUAUUUUGUACACAAAUUUAUUCACCCCUUUUCUGUCUCGCUCGUCCCACCCAAGUGAGUCUGUUGCCUACAACGUUGCCAAGAAAACUGCAGGGACAGGUGGUCAAACGGGCGAAAUCGUCUCGCCCUCCCCGCCGGGAACGAAGGAAAGGAGGAACGGGGGCGGAGUAGCCUGCCCUGUUAUCCUAUCGAGACGCGGGAGCUUGCAGUGGAGUUAAAGCGACCCCUGGGCUGUGGCAGCCGGCAGCUAUCACGCUUUCGGAGAGCGCCAUCCUCACCGUUGCAACCAUCCCUCUCUUUCCCCCCCGUACCUCGGCGUUGUAAUGUAAGGUGGAGCCGCGAUUUCCUCGGCGCGCCUAGAAAUGAACUUCCAAGAGCCAUCGGCGUACUCGGAAAGCAGGGAGGGCUUGUUGGCCUCGGGGAUCGGCUGGUCUCUGGUCCUGUGCUUCGGAGCCGCGUAUGUCUGCUAUUAUCUCAGGACGAUCGCAAAGGUGCCUCGGUAGUUGCGCAGGACACACCGCAGAGGAACCCGGCGCCAGCUUCUGGAAAGGGAAGGGCAAACGGACUCACAUGCAGAAAAUCUAGAAUAAAGACUGAAAUCAAUGGCAUGCAUUGUCCUCUCCUACUACGAGUCUUGAUCUGGAUGAUCCUGCCUAUAACAGCAGCCAAUUAA
rnacentral:lncRNA from 1 species